CCUACGGGAGGCUGCAGUGGGGAAUAUUGGACAAUGGGCGAAAGCCUGAUCCAGCCAUGCCGCGUGUGUGAAGAAGGCCUUCGGGUUGUAAAGCACUUUCAGUGGGGAAGAAAGCCUUGGGGCUAAUACCCUCGAGGAAGGACAUCACCCACAGAAGAAGCACCGGCUAACUCCGUGCCAGCAGCCGCGGUAAUUCGGAGGGUGCGAGCGUUAAUCGGAAUUACUGGGCGUAAAGCGCGCGUAGGCGGUCUGAUAAGCCGGUUGUGAAAGCCCCGGGCUCAACCUGGGAACGGCAUCCGGAACUGUCAGGCUAGAGUGCAGGAGAGGAAGGUAGAAUUCCCGGUGUAGCGGUGAAAUGCGUAGAGAUCGGGAGGAAUACCAGUGGCGAAGGCGGCCUUCUGGACUGACACUGACGCUGAGGUGCGAAAGCGUGGGUAGCAAACAGGAUUAGAUACCCGUGUAGUC
rnacentral:rRNA from 1 species